UGGGGAAUAUUGCACAAUGGGGGAAACCCUGAUGCAGCGACGCCGCGUGAACGAAGAAGGUAUUCGUAUCGUAAAGUUCUGUCCUAUGGGAAGAUAAUGACAGUACCAUAGAAGAAAGCUCCGGCUAAAUACGUGCCGGCAGCCGCGGUAAUACGUAUGGAGCGAGCGUUGUCCGGAAUUAUUGGGCGUAAAGGGUACGCAGGCGGUUUAAUAAGUCGAAUGUUAAAGAUCGGGGCUCAACCCCGUAAAGCAUUGGAAACUGAUAAACUUGAGUAGUGGAGAGGAAAGUGGAAUUCCUAGUGUAGUGGUGAAAUACGUAGAUAUUAGGAGGAAUACCAGUAGCGAAGGCGACUUUCUGGACACAAACUGACGCUGAGGUACGAAAGCGUGGGGAGCAAACAGG
rnacentral:rRNA from 2 species